UAGGGAAUUUUCGUCAAUGGGCGCAAGCCUGAACGAGCGAUGCCGCGUGAGUGAAGAAGGCCUUCGGGUCGUAAAGCUCUGUUGCGGGGGAAAAAAGGCAUCUGCAGGAAAUGGUAGAUGACAGAUGGUGCCCCGCCAGAAAGUCACGGCUAACUACGUGCC
rnacentral:rRNA from 1 species